CGAUAUUCCUCCUCAUCGAUCUGGAUACGAUAAUUAUGAUCAUCCUGUAGUUAACCCUAAAGUAGGAUACGAACAUGACCGUCGUGAUGGAUACUACCAUGACCGUGACCAUCAUGAUGCACCUUAUGGUGGUGGUGCUGGUGGAGGAUAUGGAGCUGGAGCUGGAGCUGGCUCAUCUCUUGGAGGCUCUGGAUAUGGAAGUGGAGGAGGUGGUGGUUCUGGAUAUGGAGGUGUAGGAAACCACGAGGUUGGUUAUGGUAGUGGUGGAGGGGGUGGAUAUGGAGCUGGAGUUGGCUCUGACCUUGGUGGUAGCGGAUACGGAAGCGGUGGUGGUGGAGGCAGUGGAGGAGGAUACGGUGAUUUAGGAGGACGUGGAAAAGGGUACGGUAGCGGUGGAGGUGGAGGAAGUGGAUAUGGAGGUAGAGGAGACCAUGGAGUUGGUUAUGGAAGUGGUGGAGGUGGAGGAUAUGGAAGUGGAGUAGGUGGUGGUGCAGGAGUGGUAGACCAUGGUGUAGGUUAUGGGAGUGGAGGAGGAGGUGGGGCUGGUAGUGGUUAUGGUGGUUCCAAAGGAUAUGGAGGUGGAAGCGGCGGCGGUGGGGGAGCCGGUUAUGGUGGUGGAGCACAUGGAAGUGGAUAUGGAAGUGGUGGUGGAGCUGGAAGUGGUGAAGAAGGAGGAUAUGAUGGUGGAUAUGCACCGUAAACAAAGAAAAGAAAAGAAAAAGCUCAAAGUUUUAUGGCUAAAAUGAGAAUGCUUACCCUAAUAUCAUCAAUGUGUGUGUGUGUUAGCAAAAAAAAAAAAUAAAAGAAUUUGGGUAA
rnacentral:lncRNA from 1 species